ACAGAAUCAUCCCCCUCUUCCCACGUUAAAACCGUCCCUUUUCCCUUCACUCCAUAAAUCUCUCCCAUAUCUAUCAACCACCUCCCCUCUAUAAUGUACUUUCACAAAUCAGUUUCUCCUAUUCGUUUCUCUGCAACAAGAACACAAGAUAUACUCUUCUUAAUCAAAUUCAAGGAACCAAGAAAAAAAAAACCAAAUUUAAGAGAGAAGGUCCUACAUCGUUUCAUCCUUGUUUCAUUCACAAUCUGCCAAUUGAAGGUGAAUCAUCGCAAGUGAAACCUGAUACCAAGGGGGAAGAAAGUGCUUGUGAAUUAAGUAGUCGAGGUUGAGCGGCGACGAGCAAUU